UUCUGGUCUGACAGGUCUAGCCAUUAAAUGGAAAGUAUACCCAUUAUAUAUAAGAACAACUUCAACUGGCAAACAAUUAAAGUGGUUCUUUUAUGCGAUCUUUUAUUGUCUAGCACCAUUAAAGUGGACGCAGUAAGGACGACAAAAUAUAUUUGAAGUUUUUACUUUUUACAAACAAUUAUAAUUUAAUUUAUUGUACUUCGAUAAAAAGCACUUAACAAGUUAAUGUAUUGUAUAUACGAUUAAAACUACAUCAAAAAGUUCAAACUGUCAUUUCAAAAUAACUAUCUCAAAAAUAUAUUUUUGCUUCUAUUCUCUACAAAGCAAAUACUAUUGAUAAGAUUACAUGCAUUCAAACAUCUCUCGUGUAAAUUACUUUAAAGAUAUCAAUAUAUACCUAUAGUUGUAUUUAAAUUCGCGUCAUAGCAUCAGAAUACACCCUUCCGCGAGAAGUAC